rnacentral:rRNA from 1 species
GUCUAUAGCCAUAGUGCCCUGAAUGCGCCUGAUCUCAUCUAAUCUUGGAAGAUAAGCAGGGUCAGGCCUGGUUAGUAUUUGGAUGGGAGAGUCA